UACGAAGGGGGCUAGCGUUGCUCGGAAUCACUGGGCGUAAAGCGCACGUAGGCGGCUUUCUAAGUCAGGGGUGAAAUCCUGGAGCUCAACUCCAGAACUGCCUUUGAUACUGGAGAGCUUGAGUUCGGGAGAGGUGAGUGGAACUCCGAGUGUAGAGGUGAAAUUCGUAGAUAUUCGGAAGAACACCAGUGGCGAAGGCGGCUCACUGGCCCGGUACUGACGCUGAUGUGCGAAAGCGUGGGGAGCAAACAGG
rnacentral:rRNA from 1 species